rnacentral:misc_RNA from 1 species
ACACUUCAACUCUCAUGGUUUGCCAUGAUGAGCUUGGACUUUGGGGGUCUUGCUGGCCUAUGGUCAGCUCCUCUUAAACAAAUCAGCUUGCCAGUGUUUGGUGGCAUCACAGGUGUGAUAACUAUCUACGCUUGUGGUUUUCCAUCAGGUAACCUUCAGCGAUGGAGGUUCUCUGGGGCUCAUAAAGGUCUCUCCUCAGUGAGGACAGCUUUUUGAAC